CGGCCCCUAGCUCAAUGGCAGAGCGACCGACUUAUAUUCGGUUGGUUCCAGGUUCGAGUCCUGGGGGGCCGA
rnacentral:tRNA from 1 species